ACUUGACUGGCUCAGUUGGUAGAGCACGUGGCUCUUGAUCUUGGGGUUGUGAGUUUGAACCCCAUGUUGGGGU
rnacentral:tRNA from 1 species